AAAAAAAAAAAAAAAAAACACCAAAGCAUCAUCUGGGAGUUUUCAUUGCUUUCUAUUCCCUGAAGCAUAGGACUUAUGAAUGUGUUAAGUAUAGAUGACAGUGAAAUGUAGAUUUCUUCCACGGAAACCUUCCAAAUGGGUUUCUUCUAUUUUCUUUCAUAAAAAUAAAAACUCUAUUUCUCAGCCUUAUGCUUGAGGUAGUGCCUCUCCCUCCCUCUCCAUUCCUCCCUUUCUCUCCCUAUCCCCUCCCCCCCCCCGCACUCAGAAAAGCCACACACACACUUGAUAGCGCCAUGAUCAACCAGGGUGUCUAUGCAGUUCUUGUCUAAUCCCAUGGCAGCCCUUACAUCAGAAGUAAAGUAACUGUAGUGUGUAGGUGUUCCUCCUUUCCCUCCCUUUGUAGGGUUCCCCACUGCUAAAUCCCUUAAUUCCUUUGAGAACACCAUUUCACUUCACCUCAUACAGACACAGUAACAUCUUGAGAAGAUCAUAUAACAUGAUAUGUUUGUUCCUAGAAAAUCAGGCUCCGUUUGAAGAUCCUGGAAGAAGCUGUUGACCUCUGUGUUUGAUUAACUGUCAAAUGAGCAUAUGGUCCCCCAAUAUCUCUACCAGGGGUGAAGAGAAGAAGAAAGAUUAAUCUGUAGUGGGUCAUGUCCUUGUUCUGACUCUGGCUUACCUUUACCACUUUUUUUUUUUUUUCCUUUACCACUUUUUCAUGAUAAAGCACCCAUCGAAAGUUAAGUCAAGACAUAGAUGUUCAGCAGAUGGUCCCGGCUCAAAUUUAGAAGAUGCAGCAGAAUUGAGCAGAGGAUGAGCACCCCUGAUAAGCUCCUGUUAAGUUAGCAGCACACUCAAAAUGAUAAAUUGGUGCUUUUUUCCCCUGCAAAUUUCAGUCUUGAUCCCAAAACAUAAAGAUUUUGGGGCGGGAAAUCCUCAAAGCUGCUCCUCAAAACUUUCCUUGGAAUAAUGUGCCAAGUAUGUAAACCUUAGUGUCCCUUGGCAGAGAAUCCACAUCUUGCAAUGGUGUGUUUCCAAUAUGAGAAAAAUGUGCUGCUGACAGUUUGCUUAUGAAAACCGCUGAGGGUGAGUUCAGGUGACUCUGACACAGUGGGAAAAAAACAGUAUGAUAGGGGUGGCAGGAACAGGUCAUGAAAAGCACAAUUCUAAUCUACUCUUUUAAUCCCUGACCUAGAUCCCCCUUAAGCAGAUGUGGCAUAAAGAAAAUAGAAUGUGUUUACUAGACGUGUUUCUGGUCAUUUGUUACACAACAGAUAAGGACAUAGUUUAAUACAUACUAGAGCAAUUAAUGUUUGCAAAUUUUAAAAAAAAUAUAAUGUAAAAAAUAAACAUUCUUUGAAUCUAGGGAACUGAAGACCAGCUAGGUGUAGAAAUAAAUUAGAUAACUAUCAAGUUGUUGAAAUAAAUUCUUAUCAUACAUGACAAAGAAUACAACCUUGCUCUUCUUACCUACCUGGUUAGAAAAUGAUCAGCUUGUUUAUGUGUUUUCACCUUGAUAUGAUAAAAUAGAAGGUGUGGAAAUAUGAACCCUUCAAAAAUUAUUCUCUUCCCUCCCAUAAUGGAGACAUAGAUGAGUUUUUCUGAAUGAGGGACAAAUCUUCCUUCCUUACAGUGCUAAUCCCACUGUCUAUCAUUUCCUCUUUUAUUGUUACUUUAUUUGGUGGGGAGGAGGGGGGUCAUGAUAUGCAUUUAAAAGUGAUUUUUUUUGGUGUUGGAAUUCACAAAUAAAUUUGGAGAUUUCUAGGUUGCAUUUGUUUUAUCCAUGGGCAUACCAUCUAUUAACCGAAACCGAUUGUGUAUGUACACUGGAUGCUUCUAUUCAUGCUCCCUUGCAAAUGUGCAUUGCAAGCAUCAUUACAGAGGUUUCCAUACACAUUUAUACUUUCUGGCAUUUUUGAACAUUCUAACUAGCGGAUGCACAAAUUUAUUGUAUGAAUAUCUUUAUACGUUUACUCCCCUAUCUAUGUAUAUAACACGUCUGUAUUCAUGGGUUCCAGGAUAUAAAUUCAGCAAAAUAUGCCUGUAUCAGUCAAAUGCUUUUUUUUUUGCUCUAAUUUUAUUCCUAUUUAUAUCUUUCAUGUUGCUUUGACACAAGUAAUUUCUUUUUUUUUCCUUUUUCUUUCUUUCCAAGUUUUAUUUGAAUUCCAAUGAGUUAACAUACAGUGUAACAUACAGUUUCGUGUUAACAAGGGAAUUUUCUUCUUUAAAGAUGUUAUUUAUUUAUUUGAGAUGGAGGAGAGAGCACAAGUGGGGAGGAGGUCAGAGGGAGAGUAAGAAGCCUCAGGGCACAAUCCCAGGACCCUGAGAUCAUGACCUGAGAUGAAGGCAGACGCUUAACUUACUGAGCCAUCGAGGCAUCCCAACAAGGGAAUUUUAUUUUAUUUUAUUUUUUUUAUAAAUUUAUUUUUUAUUGGUGUUCAGUUUGCCAACAUAUAGAAUAACACCCAGUGCUCUUCCCAUCAAGUGCCCCCCUCAUUGCCUGUCACCCAGUAACCCCCACACCCAGCCCACCUCCCCUUCUACCACCCCUAGUUCCCAACAAGGGAAUUUUAAAAACACAGGAGAUAAUUGUGUAUAUGUAGUUAAGUGAACAUUCAGGGCAGUUGCAAUGAACACAGUGUGCUAAUUUAGGCUGUGCAAAUGGACACAACAAAUUAUUAUCUCAAAUCAGUCAUUAAAUAUAAUCAUCCCCAACCCUUGUAGACACAGGUGUGGCUGAUGUACCUCUCUAGUGUCUAGUGAUUUGUCUGAAGUUUGAACUAGACUAAGAAAUUACAUUUGGGGCUAUUUGCUAGAUGUCCUAAAAAGGGGAAUUCUUUUCAGCAUGGUUUUGUGGAGACACAAAGGAAUUUUACCUAUCCUGAUGGUAACCAAACUACUUUUUAUUUAGAGGAAAAAAUUCACUUUGACUAUACUUAAAGCAAAGGUACAUUGUUAGAGAAAUAAGAAGGAAGUCAUAAGACCAAGGAAGAAGAGGUAGUUCACGUAUCUCAAGUGAUAAUGAGAGAAUGUUCUUAACAACAGGAAAUUGUUGUAGAAGUUUUGAGGUAUGGAUUGCUUUGAAAAUCACUACACAUUUAAAAACGAGUACCUGUUUAUGAGAAAGUAUUUUGUUUAGGCUUUCUUUUUUUUUUUUUUUUCUUCUUUAAAAUAAAGUUACACACUU
rnacentral:lncRNA from 1 species